rnacentral:rRNA from 1 species
AAAAACAUCACCUCCAGCAUUCCCAGUAUUGGAGGCAUUGCCUGCCCAGUGACAACUGUUUAACGGCCGCGGUAUCCUGACCGUGCAAAGGUAGCAUAAUCAUUUGUUCUCUAAAUAAGGACUUGUAUGAAUGGCCGCACGAGGGUUUUACUGUCUCUUACUUCCAAUCAGUGAAAUUGACCUUCCCGUGAAGAGGCGGGAAUGCACAAAUAAGACGAGAAGACCCUAUGGAGCUUUAACUAACCAACCCAAAGAGAAUAGAUUUAACCAUUAAGGAAUAACAACAAUCUCCAUGAGUUGGUAGUUUCGGUUGGGGUGACCUCGGAGAAUAAAAAAUCCUCCGAGCGAUUUUAAAGACUAGACCCACAAGUCAAAUCACUCUAUCGCUCAUUGAUCCAAAAACUUGAUCAACGGAACAAGUUACCCUAGGGAUAACAGCGCAAUCCUAUUCAAGAGUCCAUAUCGACAAUAGGGUUUACGACCUCGAUGUUGGAUCAGGACAUCCUGAUGGUGCAACCGCUAUCAAAGGUUCGUUUGUUCAACGAUUAAAGUCCUACAUGAUCUGA